CCUACGGGGGGCAGCAGUGGGGAAUAUUGGACAAUGGGGGCAACCCUGAUCCAGCCAUGCCGCGUGUGUGAAGAAGGCCCUCGGGUUGUAAAGCACUUUCAGUGAGGAAGAACGCCUGGUGGUUAAUACCCAUCAGGAAAGACAUCACUCACAGAAGAAGCACCGGCUAACUCCGUGCCAGCAGCCGCGGUAAUACGGAGGGUGCGAGCGUUAAUCGGAAUUACUGGGCGUAAAGCGCGCGUAGGUGGCUUGAUAAGCCGGUUGUGAAAGCCCCGGGCUCAACCUGGGAACGGCAUCCGGAACUGUCAAGGUAGAGUGCAGGAGAGGAAGGUAGAAUUCCCGGUGUAGCGGUGAAAUGCGUAGAGAUCGGGAGGAAUACCAGUGGCGAAGGCGGCCUCUGGACUGACACUGACACUGAGGUGCGAAAGCGUGGGUAGCAAACAGGAUUAGAUACCCCUGUAGUC
rnacentral:rRNA from 1 species